CCAGCGGUCAAACUGAUCGACGAAACUAACGGUGACGGCAAACGUGCGCGAGUGGCGUCUGUAGGCGACCGUCUCUUUUCCCACUUGCAGACGAGCAGGCGGUACUUGUGAGCAUACUGAAUAACAUCUUGGAUACUAAUGCCGGCAAUGAUGACUUGGCUGUCGAACUCGUGAGCGAGGACAAGAAACCAUUAGCGAAGAGCACUACCUCGCACAGUUCUGCCACGAAAACGGGGACGACACAAGAGUGUGAAGAAAUCGAGCAGUAAGUCUGCGACGAAACCCACGACUGCCAAGACAAAAACUGCAAACGCGGCACCUUCGGGCCAGGAAGCCUGAUGCACACAAGGCCGCGAGUGCUGAGACUUCAGCAAGUAAUAGCAAGAAAAAAGCUGACACGUCUUGAUGUACGUAAAAAAGCAAGUGUCGUCGUCUGCUAAAGCGAAGGAGAAAAAACCAAGUCAGCACGGCUAAAGAUUGUGGACCCUACGGUAGCAGCUACAUGGACCAGAUGGGAGCCCCUCCCUUCGACAGGACGCCGUACGAUCGACCUUUCCCAUCGGAGUUCAUACCAAGGAGUCCGAAAAAGCGAGCCAUGUCAACUCGCUGACUUGUCAGUUGGUCAGCACCUACAGGACCAUCCUGGCCUCAUCUACCCAGAGUUCUGGAUAGAGAACACAAUAACAAUCACCGCUGAUAUAAUUAAUAGUUGGAAGGCCACCAUACAGUAAGUUAUAUUCAGAUAUUGAAAUACACCACUAUCUCUGGAGACUGAUCAUGGAAAAUGAUGAAGCAAUAUACAUGGACGGACCUUAGUUUUCGAAAGUCUACAACUUUCCCGAGCACAAGACUCGGCCAGUCUUGACGUGGAAUACGCAUGUUGAAUUGUUCUUCAUUCCACCAUACUGCAUUCAACGUGAGAUUCAUCUCAACUACCUUGAUGAUGAC